ensembl:lncRNA
GCGGGGGUACAGGUCAAUGUGAGGGGGUACAGGUCAAUGUGAGGGGGUACGGGUCAAUGUGCAGGGGUACAGGUCAAUGUGAGGGGGUACAGGUCAAUGUGAGGGGGUACAGGUCAAUGUGAGGGGGUACGGGUCAAUGUGCAGGGGUACAGGUCAAUGUGAGGGGGUACAGGUCAGUGUGUGGGGGUACAGGUCAAUGUGCAGGGUACAGGUCAAUGUGAGGGGGUACAGGUCAAUGUGAGGGGGUACAGGUCAAUGUGAGGGGGUACAGGUCAAUGUGCAGGGGUACAGGUCAAUGUGAGGGGGUACAGGUCAAUGUGCGGGGGUACAGGUCAAUGUGAGGGGGUACAGGUCAUUGUGCGGGGGUACAGGUCAAUGUGAGGGGGUAAAGGUCAUUGUGCGGGGGUACAGGUCAAUGUGAGGGGGUAAAGGUCAAUGUGCGGGGUUGCAGUAGAAAAAACUACAAUCUCAAAUCAAAUACUAUGUUUAAUGUUAAUAGAAAUUAUUUUCAAU